UCUUCCAAACACGAGAGAGAGGCUGUUUCUAGUGCUCACCUUUCUUACCAGCUUCCAGUCGCCUCCAAUCUCAGCGGAAGCAGCGGAAGGCUGAUCCCCCGGUGCGGGGGCCUGGGGGUACCUGACACAGACAGUGGCAGCCUCCAUGGGUUUGCAGGUCACGGGUUUGCAGGGACUCCUCUGAACCAAGAAUCACCCCAUUGCAAGAACGUUCCCACGCGUUAGCGUGUAACAGUCAAGGGUGUAAAUGGAGGGAGAGAAUCCACAUUAAAUAUGGAGGAUCGUGCCUCAUCAUUUGCAACGCAGCAAAGGAGACCAGAAGUGUCUUCAGACAGUGGCUCGAGCCCUCGAGAGGGCUCCGGGCAGCAGAGCGAGGGGCCGGCGGGGAGAGUGGAGAGCAGGCAGCAGGCACUGGCUGACAGGGACGACCCUGGUCAGGUGAUGACCCCUGG
rnacentral:lncRNA from 1 species